rnacentral:rRNA from 1 species
UCUGGUGGCUAUAGCGAAGGGGUCACACCCGUUCCCAUCCCGAACACGGAAGUUAAGCCCUUCAGCGCCGAUGGUACUGGGUCUUGCCCGGAAGAGUAGGUCGCUGCCAGAG